ACCAAAGUUUAGGGGUGCCUCGCUUAUGCGAGGCUGAGAUCAUACCCAUUGAACCUGCCCGGGUAAUGCCGGCGAAGGGAACAAACGAUCCGCGAACGA
rnacentral:ncRNA from 2 species